UUUAACCAGGUUUUCCGAAGGAAAAAACUGGUUAUUAGAUUGGCGAAUGCGGGCGGGCUGGCUGGCUGGCGGGCUGGCGGAAUAAGCUUGUCCGGGCCAUAACUAUGUCGUUCAUUGUCAGAUUUUAAAAUCAUUUGGCACAUUUGUUCACCAUCAUUGGACGGUGUGUCACGCGAAAUAAUUACGUCGAUAUCUCCAAGGUCAAGGUCACACUUUGAGUUCAAAGGUCAAAAAUGGCCAUAAAUGAGCUUGUCCUGGCCAUAACUAUGUCAUUCAUUGUGAGAUUUUAAAAUCAUUUGGCACAUUUGUUCACCAUCAUGGGACGGUGUGUCCCACGAAAGAAUCACGUCAAUAUCUCCAAUGUCAAGGUCGCCACGACUAAAAAUAGAUUUAAAAAAAAAAAAAAAAAACUUACAAAGGGGGUUAAUUUUUUUUGGUCAUUUCAAAAGUU